GAUGAACGCUAGCGGCAGGCUUAACACAUGCAAGUCGAGGGGUAGAGGAAGCUUGCUUCCUUGAGACCGGCGCACGGGUGCGUAACGCGUAUACAAUCUACCUUUUACAGAGGGAUAGCCCCAGAGAAAUUUGGAUUAAUACCUCAUAGUAUUUUCGGAUCGCAUGAAUUGAUUAUUAAAGUUCCAACGGUAAAGAUGAGUAUGCGUCCCAUUAGCUAGAUGGUAAGGUAACGGCUUACCAUGGCAAUGAUGGGUAGGGGUCCUGAGAGGGAGAUCCCCCACACUGGUACUGAGACACGGACCAGACUCCUACGGAGGGCAGCAGUGAGGAAUAUUGGACGAAUAGGGCGGCGAAGACC
rnacentral:rRNA from 1 species